AAUGAAAAUUGAAAACUGAAUUAAGUCAUUUUAACUUGUAAAAAUGUUUAACAGAACUAACAAUAACAUAAAUUUUCAAUGAAAACUAACUGCAUUAGUAGAAUUUGGAUUUUCUCAUUCACUACCAGAUCAUAAAUCAAAUUGACUGCUAACAUUUCAUUUCAUCAAAUUCAUCUAAACAAACCCCUAACUAUUAACAACCUUCUAACAACUUCUAACCGAAACCUUCACGCCCUCGUCACGAUAUAAUAGAACUGCCAGUUCCAAUCGAAUUGGAUUGGCGUUUUCAGCUCGGCAGCUACAUCCUGCUGCCGGAACUAGAAACCAAACAACCGGAGCCGGCAACGGUGCUAUUGAACGGAAAAACUCUAGUCUCAGACAUCACCUAGCAGACUCCACUUCGGAUCCGAGAAAGUCUUGCUCAACGCCUCGCUGGGACAUACCAACUUCCAUUAACCUGCAGAAUGGGGAUUUUGACAGAAAUUCCAAUUCAGUAACAAAACUUCAAGACCACGACAGAAGAGCUGAACAUUUACAAUCCAAUUAACAUAACUCAGUACAUAACAUUUCAAUUGUUAGCAAGCCAAUGAAAGCAAAAACAUAAUACAUUCAACCUGCAUAAUUUUUGAACCAACCCAAUUCCUUCAAACCAAAUCUCCUUUUCCCUCCUAACUGAACCAAGAGUCAUAUAACUUCACAUAACCAAUAACAAAAAAUCUGCACAACAAAAUCCAACUCUAGCAGCACACUAAAACCACCUGCAAAAAAUUAAUUUUCACUAAUUAAUUCCCAAAAUUAACAAACUCCAAACAACAUUGCAACCAUUUCAUCCCAACAAUAAAUUCACUAAAUUCCUUUUCAUUUCAUUUGGAUUUGAGAUUUAACUAACUUCCAUAACUGAAUAUAACAUAAAUGCAUUUCACCUGACUAACUCUCAUUUUCACUUCUAACUGAUUCUAACACUUUUACAUAACUUCUAACCAACUUAAAUCAAAUAAAAAAAACUGAAUUAACAGAGUUAGCAUUCUGUUUGCUCACUCCUCCCUAUAUAUUCAGAUCAACCUCCAUCAUCUUGGGGGAUUCAUUUUUUACUGUAUUUUUUUCACUCUACACACAAGGGAUCCCAAGAAGAAUCAGAAGCAUUUCACUGCCUCUCUCUCUCAUGAAGAAUCUAAGGUACAAGAAGGUGAAGAAGGAGAUCACAGCACGCACGACAAUGACAACAUAAAGAAGGUGAAGAAGAAGCAUAACAGAAAAGCGGAGAGCGGAGACGAAAACUGAGCGAGAUAUACCUGAAGUCAGCGUCGGAGUUUGGAAGUCUGCACGAAUCCGAAGGCGUCGUCUCCGUUGGCGAUGCGAUGACAUCAUCAAGCAUAACAACCGAAGCUUGUCCACAAUACGAAUUUCGAUCCGGCGAAUCAGACGCAACCCCGACCUCGUACCGUUUCGGUGUUAAUAUUUCGCACAUAUUCAUUUUGUUCUUGAUUCUUUGUGGAUGGAGAAAUUGAAUUCUUGACAUUUCGUUGAGAUUCCUGGUGUUUGCGUGAGAUUGAACUGAAGGUGCAUUGAAGAUUGCUGCGCGCGACCGGUUUCAUUUGUGUUGAUGCAUUCAUUGAGAGACUUGGAGCUUAGGAGGGAUACACACGUGAAAUCUCGAGCGCAUUGUUAAGCUAUUCAGUUCUUGGAUGCGUGGGUUUCUCCACUUGGUUAGGGCCCGAGUAUUGGAAAACUUGGGCUUCAGGCCCAAGCGUUUUGGUGUUCUUUGUUCACCCUUCUACCAAUACACCACCCUUUUCCAAUUCGCUACACCCCCUCAUGCUGCAGGGCACAUGGAAAUGGGCCUGGGAGUGGGCCUCUACGCCCAAGACCAUUUCACCAUGUCUGGAUGGGCAUACACCCUCUUCCU
rnacentral:lncRNA from 1 species